rnacentral:rRNA from 1 species
AGCCUGAUGCAGCCAUGCCGCGUGUAUGAAGAAGGCCUUCGGGUUGUAAAGUACUUUCAGCAGUGAGGAAGGGGUGUAUGUUAAUAGCAUGCAUCUUUGACGUUAGCUGCAGAAGAAGCACCGGCUAACUCCGUGCCAGCAGCCGCGGUAAUACGGAGGGUGCGAGCGUUAAUCGGAAUUACUGGGCGUAAAGCGCAUGCAGGUGGUUUGUUAAGUCAGAUGUGAAAGCCCGGGGCUCAACCUCGGAAUUGCAUUUGAAACUGGCAGACUAGAGUACUGUAGAGGGGGGUAGAAUUUCAGGUGUAGCGGUGAAAUGCGUAGAGAUCUGAAGGAAUACCGGUGGCGAAGGCGGCCCCCUGGACAGAUACUGACACUCAGAUGCGAAAGCGUGGGGAGCAAACAGGAUUAGAUACCCUGGUAGUCCACGCCGUAAACGAUGUCUACUUGGAGGUUGUGGCCUUGAGCCGUGGCUUUCGGAGCUAACGCGUUAAGUAGACCGCCUGGG